rnacentral:lncRNA from 1 species
CCUCAGCACACGCCCUGCCCAAGCUCUUCUUCCAGCCCAAAUCCCCAGCCAGCAGCAGCACAAGACAUCUAUCCAGCAAUGGCGUCCACCUCCUGCUUCCUCCACCAGUCCACCGCCCGCCUCGCCGCCUCCGCCCGCCCCUCCGCCGCCCGCACCCAGAUCCUCGUCUGCAAGGCCCAGCAGCACGACUCCUCCGACGCCGCCACCACCCGCCGCGCCGCCCUCUCCCUCCUCGCCGGCGCCGCCGCCGCCGCCUCCCUCAAGGUCUCCCCCGCCUCCGCCGCCUACGGCGAAGCCGGUACGUAACAGAGAUCUUACCCGCCGUUUGGUCCCAACAGAUCUCUCUCUAAUUUGGUUGAUUUCUCUGUAUGUGCAGCGAAUGUGUUUGGGAAGCAGAAGAGCACGGAGUUCGUGGCGUAC